CUUUUUGCUCAAUGAAUCUCUUGAGAUGUCACGCUCCGUCUCUUGUUGAAAAUCUCGUCUCUCCUGAAUGAAGAAUCCGAGUGCCUGAUUGCGUGUGGAACGUCCGGUGGCACAGUGAAAGGAGUCCAUGUGCUUCGAUCGUCAUCCUUAUCGGCGCCCACCGGCGCACGCAAGAACCCAGCAGUCCAGAAACCUUAUGAAAGAACAAUGCGGCCAAAAGAGUACGAGGUCAUAAAUCUCAAGCAUGGAACCCAGCUAUCAUUUUCAACGAAGAGAAGGGAAAGCAUUCAUUAGCAUGGUCACUUCCACAGAAACGUGACAGCAGAGAGCUGCUACGAUACAGUAUCGACAAAUCACUUUGUUGGCUUGAUGAGAAGAGUUUGCUAACGACAGUGAGGCCUUUUGUGAAUGACACGGCUAUCAGUAGCAUCUCAGAUGCUAUGGUGCUGGAUUGUUAGAAGCUAAAGCAUGUGAAACUCAAUUCACUGGAGUGCUGGAUCAAUAAAAGAACCAGAUUCUCACCAAAAUGAAGCUACAAGAAGUGGUUUAGAGUUCCCCUCUCAAACCUGCUAGUAGUGGGAAGGAAGGUGCAAAGCUUGAUCGUGCUGAGAAGAUGAGUGGCGAUCGGUUUCUCAAGGAGGGGCGCACAGACACAUAAGUGGUCGGAAUCCUUACUGUCCUUCACAAUGACCACAGAUCCAACCGAUCUACAGCCCAGCAUCGCGUGAUGAUAUUUACUAAAUAACAAUGUAUUGUCAGGGGUGCAUCUCUUAGCAUAACCUAGCAUGUUUGCCAACCCCAGCUUGGCAAAGUUGGAUUAAAGUUUACCAAUCUCAAAAUCAUUCAUAAUCUCAUAGAGGCUCUGGCUGCCAAUCAAUGGCUUCCAUCCACUUCUCCACAUGCAAAAGAUAUCUCCUUCCCCUCGCUCUGAAUGAAAAACCUAAUCAGCCUAAUCUGAAGGUUUGUCUAUAUGACCAGGAUACGUCUCAUUAUGCAGAAUCAAUUAACCCCUAGGACAAAAAUCCGACAGUGGACGUCCCAAAUUCUGCAUCAUUCAAGUUCAGUUAAUUUAUAAAGGAAAAAAACAAGACGGUAAACUAUUCUGACACCUGAGGCGUAUCUUCCGUUAAACCUGAGGCAUUUCUUAAGAUAACAUGGAAGUACUGUUCCUUUGAAGGAGUGAGUUGGAUAUAAGCAGCAACCAAAGGAACACUGAGAUUCCAAACAUAAACUAGUUUAAGAAGGCACAAUAAGAAACUUGGGAUAAAAAAUCUUACAUUCCUCAGCUCUACACUAAGUUAACCUGGAUAGCCGCAAAGAAUCAAAGAUGCUGUACAAGUUGAUGAUAUUGGGCUGGGGGAACGAGCGAGAGAGAGAGAGAGAGAGAGAGAGAGAGAGAGAGAG